UAGGGACGGGGUACUCAGGGUGGAGAAGGGCUGAGAGGGGGAGGAGGAUGGAACUUCGACAGUCGGGGCGGGAGUAGUUGGGGCAGAACUCGGGGUGCAGACAGGCACUGAGGGAGGUAACGGAGGGCAAGGAGGUGGGGGAGCUCCAACGGACAUGACAGGAGGAUGGUUGGAGGAGGGGACCUGGUCACAGGAGGGCUGAUGCAUAGGAGUGGGUGGGAACGAGUGUUGUGGUAUUGGGAAAUAAU